rnacentral:misc_RNA from 1 species
ACCGCUUGAAUGCCUGCUAGACCUGUCUGCAAGGGUGCACGUACUUCGCUCGACCUGUCCCGUCGCUCCCCACGCCCUCGAGCCGCGCUGUCGACGAUGCCUCACCGGCCAACCGCCAACUUGCUUUCUUCGGUCGCAGUGCGUGUGCCGGGCGGAAUUGGACCGGUCGUGGCGCACUAGCAGCGCUGGAGAGGACGUGGCAGAACAGGCCAGAGGCUCGAUGACGUCGGACGAGGUUGGCUUGCGACUGUUCGAGCGACUCGCUUCUUUCUCCCUCCUUCCUCACACCCCUACGACACUCGCCAGCCCGACAUGUCCUUCGUCAGCGACAACUCCGAAAAAUCUGAGGCCGACCAACGCUUCAUGACCGCCGCAAUCGAGUCCAAGUGACAAGCAGAGCAGCUGUUGGGCAAAGCUGCCGCCUGGCGGGCUCGAGAACUGUACCAGCAGCAGUGUGCCGACGCGGGUAGACCGACAGAUGUCGAAGCAAGAUCCCUGGCUUCCGAAUCCGCCGUCAAAUGCGUCAAGUCCAUCGCUGAGGACGCUGAGAUAAACCCUCUCAACAUGGAUCAAGUCGGUGAGGACGCGGCCGAGUCCACCAGGAGCGCUAUCACAACUAUUGGACAUAAGACACCUUCGCUGUCGCUGUGCAUAGCCCGCAUCAAUCCGCAAUCAGUCGUUCUCCUCCAUGCGCCUUGUCGAGGGACCGCUUCGUUUCCACUCUUCUCCCGCUCGGGACUCGAUGCUCCCGUUCGUGCUCGGCGCGGGGCGGAAGCAUCAAGCGAUACGCGGGCUCGCAAUCCUGCUGGAACCAGAGCUGGACGGGCUCGCUUCCCGGGGGAUCGACCAGGAGUCUCUGGUUCCUCUGCAACGGCUGCACCCGCGCCGAACGUGUCGCAGGCGCAUCGAUUGCCUUUUACUGCGAGCGUAACACAGGCAAGAUACGC